rnacentral:lncRNA from 1 species
UCAUAAAUCCGUCAAGGUUGGGAGGUGGUUGUGUUGGCGGUGGUGAAAAUGAAGCUUGUUCAUCACCACUUCCAGGUGAAGUCGCUUCCUCAGCAAGCUCUGCUAUCAUUUCUUCAUAUGCCUCGUCUAUUGCCGGUUGUGAAUCUGCUAUGCAAAAGUUCCUUCCUUCUGCGCGGAUCCAAUCUCUAAAAAGCACUGAUUUUUCCAAGCUCUCCCGCAUUGACGCUCUGUGAUCACCUAUUUGUAGUCUUGCUUGACUGAAAGCGCUCGCCGAUGCAACAAUUGACGCUUGAAUUGACAGAACAUCCCGAGCAAUCCUUGCAAGAACGGGAAAAUGCUUUUCCCUUGACUUCCACCAUUCCAAAAG